GACGAACGCUGGCGGCGUGCUUAACACAUGCAAGUCGAACGGAAAGGCCCUGCUUUUGUGGGGUGCUCGAGUGGCGAACGGGUGAGUAACACGUGAGUAACCUGCCCUUGACUUUGGGAUAACUUCAGGAAACUGGGGCUAAUACCGGAUAGGAGCUCCUGCUGCAUGGUGGGGGUUGGAAAGUUUCGGCGGUUGGGGAUGGACUCGCGGCUUAUCAGCUUGUUGGUGGGGGAGUGGCUUACCAAGGCUUUGACGGGUAGCCGGCCUGAGAGGGUGACCGGCCACAUUGGGACUGAGAUACGGCCCAGACGCCUACGGGAGGCAGCAGUGGGGAAUAUUGCACAAUGGGCGGAAGCCUGAUGCAGCAACGCCGCGUGCGGGAUGACGGCCUUCGGGUUGUAAACCGCUUUCGCCUGUGACGAAGCGGGAGUGACGGUAAUGGGUAAAGAAGCACCGGCUAACUACGUG
rnacentral:rRNA from 1 species